AACGCUAGCUACAGGCUUAACACAUGCAAGUCGAACGGAUUCUGGAUUCGUCUGGAAUUAGUGGCAAACGGGUGAGUAACACGUAUCCAACCACCCUGCGACUCGGGGAUAGCCUCUUGAAAGGGAGAUUAAUAUCCGAUGUACUGUUUUUGGUGCAUGCCAUUUUCAGUAAAGUUUUUUACGGUCGCUGACGGGGAUGCGUUCCAUUAGAUAGUCGGUGUGGUAACGGCUCACCGAGUCUAUGAUGGAUAGGGGUUCUGAGAGGAAGGUCCCCCACAUUGGAACUGCGACACGGUCCAAACUCCUACGGGAGGCAGCAGUGAGGAAUAUUGGUCAAUGGGCGAAAGCCUGAACCAGCUAUGUAGCGUGAAGGAUGACUGCCCUAUGGGUUGUAAACUUCUUUUGUUCGGGAAUAACAGACUUCACUUGUGGAGUUUUGCAUGUACCGUUCGAAUAAGGAUCGGCUAACUCCGUGCCAGCAGCCGCGGUAAUACGGAGGAUCCGAGCGUUAUCCGGAUUUAUUGGGUUUAAAGGGUGCGUAGGCGGGAGCGGAAGUCAGCUGUGAAAUUUUAUGGCUCAACCAUAAACUUGCAGUUGAAACUCCGUUUCUUGAGUACACAUGAGGUGGGCGGAAUUUGUGGUGUAGCGGUGAAAUGCUUAGAUAUCACGAAGAACUCCGAUUG
rnacentral:rRNA from 1 species